rnacentral:rRNA from 1 species
AUGGCCAACCACGGAGUCGCCGCUCUCCUGAUCGCGUCCCUUCUUGUGGCGGUCACCCUCGCCGACGCCAGGAUCACCGUGAACGUGCAGCGCGACAGCAUUAACGGAGGUUAUGCGGCGAACAAGAAGGCGGUGCCGGCGCUGACGUGCAACAAGGUGAGCGCGGUGCAGCAGGGCGAGACCUGCUCCUCACUAGCGGAGGACGCCGGGCUGACCCAGGAGGACUUCCUGGGCUUCAACCCCAACAUCAACUGCGUCAGGAUCUUCGUAGGCCAGUGGGUCUGCCUCGACGCGUCCUCUGCCUAA